rnacentral:rRNA from 1 species
UACGAAGGGGGGCUAGCGUUGUUCGGAUUUACUGGGCGUAAAGCGCACGUAGGCGGUUUGUUAAGUCGGGGGUGAAAUCCUGGAGCUCAACUCCAGAACUGCCUUCGAUACUGGAAGACUUGAGUCCGGGAGAGGUGAGUGGAACUGCGAGUGUAGAGGUGAAAUUCGUAGAUAUUCGCAGGAACACCAGUGGCGAAGGCGGCUUACUGGUCCAUAACUGACGCUGAGGUGCGAAAGCGUGGGGAGCAAACAGGG